UGUCUGGCUGAAUUAAAGCAGCAAGGUGCCCGCGCGGGUGAGCUCCGUGAGACCCCACCCGCAUCAGCAGCAGCGCCCUGGAGCCUCGAUGCCAUUUGUCACACCGCGUCGCCCGGCGCCACACCGAGCGAUGUCACCAAGCGCGAACGUACCAGCGAGAGGUCGUCGAUGACGUGCUGUUGUUCCAGAACCUGCAGCCGCAGGAACUCGAUCUCCUGCUCGUCCCUCGUCAGGCUGAGGUCGUUCAAGGAAGUGUGCCGCUUCAGGGACGCCUGCGCCGACAGCUUCUCUUUCUGCAGCCAGAGGGAGAGCGCCCAGCAGGAGGGGCUUCAGCUGGACCUCGGUCUCCCGGGAGCGUUUCAGCUGCGAUCAGAAAGACACAGAAGGCCGGUGGCUGUAAGGCCCAGCGGACUGCUGAUGUCACACGGCGGAGGCCAGCAGGGGUCCAACCCAGGACCGGAGCUGCCUCCGCUGGGACCACAAACCCCAGAAGAUCCCACAACCACCUGGAUCCCAAACACAGUAUCCCACCUGAGGCUCAGGGGGGCCUCGCAUAAGGCAACAGGGGAGGCCCACAGAUCCGCCCCCGGGCACCCCGCUGGCAAGUGACCUGUGCUGGGUCCACUGGUCUGCACUUCCUUCACCUCUGGGCAUAACCCCCAGGGGUCCUGGGUCUCACGCGCAAAGGUCAAUCCCAUGACCCGGCUGCUCCUGGCCACCAUUCCUCCCCAAGUACAGACCUAGCAGAAAGCUCUACCUUCUUGAGACAGCAGGCAAUCAAUCCUGGGCCCCACUCCGUGCCAGACUCGGUGCCGGGACAUCAAACCCGAAGGCGUUCCCUGAGUCUGUACAACUAGGGGCUGUCCUUCCAGUCUCUCCCGUGGGAUCAGCGCUGGGGGAGCCCCUCUGGUGCCUGGGGCCCUGUGCUGGGGGCCGAAUCGAAGGGACGGCAUGCCAGGGUGCCCGUCCAAUGUCAGAGGAAGAGGGCAAAGACAGUAAAGGAGGUAAGAACACAGUGAGCCAAGCGCGGGCAGAUGUUCCAGGCGGGGAGACCACGCGCCCUGAGGUUCAGAGCAGGCAAGAGCACAGCUCGUUCAGUGCAGCGGGAACACAGAACGUGGGGUGCUGGGCGUAGAGAGGUGGACACGGUGAGGCCUGGUUUCGAGGGCUGGAGAACUCUGUCAUUCAGUUUCUGCCCUGGCCCUUGAGGGCUGCUCUCUGUGGUCGGGUCUGCCUUCUCGAACACACUGUGCCUCCCCACAACCCCAGGAGGGGCCCCAUCCCCACUUUACAGACAGAGAAACUGAGAGCAAAGACGUGGGAUGCUGUGCUCGUGGCCACACAGAAAGUGCUAGAACCAAGAAUCAAGCACAGGGACUGACUGCAGAUCCCUGAUUUUGGUCGCCAGGUUGUAAAGUUAAGAUCAAGCAGUCUGGUGGGACCCACUCAAAUAUAAAAUGGACCUUUGAGGGGCGCCUGGGUGGCUCAGCCGGUUAAGCGUCCAACUCUUGGUUUUGGCUCAGGCCAUGAUCUCACGGUUCCGUGGGUUCGAGACUUGUGUCGGGCUCUGCGUUGGCAGAGAGAAGCCUGCUUGGGAUUCUCUCUCUCCCUCUCUCUCUGCCCCCCCCACCACUCGCACUGUCUCUGUGUCUCUGAAAAUAAAUUAAUAAACUUUAUGAAAAAAAAAUGACCUUUGACCCAUACAUUCUACUUCUGAAAAUCCUCACAGGAAUAAAAUUCCAAGUGGUAACGACAGAAAUGUGUCUUCAGGUGGCAUAUGCUCAUAACAGCAAAGACACCCGAGCAGCCUAGAGGAAUGGGUGAAUGAGCCACGGGUCGUCCUCAAAGGGGGGCGUGAGCUGUGCACCUGCCCAAACGACAGCCGGAACUGAUGAAUCAUGGGAAAAAAAGCAAGUUGCAGAACAAUAACACAGAGGAGAAAAUAUCCCGUCUGUAACGGCCAAACAACAGACAGUCUCCUGGUGGGUGUCGAUAUAUCUACACCAGUUUUAAAAGCAUGUAAGAACCACCCCCAAACAGCUAAUAGUAGUUAUUUCGUGAUUUUAAGAUCAAAGUGCUGGCUAGCUGCUCAAUUUUUGCUUUAAAUACUUCAGUGUGCUCCAAAUUGUUGCACACAAGCUACAUUUCUUUUCUAAUCUUCUCAGUGAACUAUUAUGCAGUACACGAGGGACUUUUUUUAGUUAAUGAAUAUUUAAGCGAAAAGCGUACAUCUAAUAUUAGACAUACAGUCUGAUUAAAGCCACUUGAAAAUAUGCUUUUAAAAAUACUUGAUGGAGGAGUGCCUGGGUGGCUCAGUCAGUUAAGCGUCCGGCUCUUGAUUUCGGCUGAGGUCAUGAUCUCACGGUUCGUAAGAUCGAGCCCCGCUUCAGGCUCUGGGAUGACAGUGUGGAACCCGUUUAGGAUUCCCUCUCUCCCUCUCUCUGCCUCUCCCUUGCUGUCACUCUCUCUCUCAAAAUAAAUAAAUAAAAACAUUUGAAAAAAUUAAAAAAAAAAUACUUGAAGGCAAUGACUUUACUUUGAUCCUGUUAAGAUACAAAGAGGUGACUCUUACGCUGUUCAUCUCGCAUGGUUCUCACAUACUAUAUAGAUGCACUUGCUUUCAUGAUAAAAUUUAGAAUCAACAGAAAUAUGACAAGACACUUGUCAAGAAGUUUAUGUACCGACUCCCACGACAUAAAAGUUCACUUCGCUGUUUAUGCAGCAAAUUUACACAUAUUCAGGAAACUACUCUUUUUACUAGAUUAUCUUUUUUAUUUGUUUAUUUAUUUAAUAAUUUUGAGAGAGAGUGUACAUGUGCCGAGUGGGGGAGGGGCAGAGAAAGAGGAAAUGGGCGUCCCUAGGGAUUCAUUUUUUUUAACCCAGAGUCCCUGUUCGUUAUCUUUAAAAUUAGAAAUAUGUGAACUUUGGGACUCCUGGGUGGCUCAGUCGGUUGAGCGUCAGACUUCGGCUCAGGUCACGAUCUCACAGUUCGUGGGUUCGAGCCCCGCGUCGGGCUCUGUGCGGACAGCUCAGAGCCCGGAGCCUGCUUCGGAUUCUGUGUCUCCCUCUCUCUCUGCCCCUCCCCUGCUCACGCUGUCUCUCCCUCUCUCUCUCUCUCUCUC